CGGCAGUCAUCAGGGUUGUCCUUUCGUGCCCCGUUGUAUCUACUUCUUCGGGCAGUUACUGCUCAUUUCGUCCUCUCAGCCAAUUCAGAAUACUGGGCUGGUCUCCUUCUUCGGUUUUUCGUUGUUUCAUGUUCUUGCCCUCAUUGCCCGCGUAGUUGUUGUUUCGCUCGUUCUCCUCCUUGCCCCUUCCCAGGCCCUCGCUGUCACCCUCCUGUGACACAUGACGGUCUUGCAGAAUUGCCUGAAUUUAUUCCAGCUCUCGUCCUUGGCGGUCACCGUGGCGAUCAGAUUGCCCACGUCUAUCUUCCCGCCCAGAGCGUUCUCCAGCACGCGAAGAGGGCGUGCUCUGCAUCGUCGUUCGGGUCUCCACAGUCGAGACAGUUGCUGUCGCUGUCCCUG
rnacentral:misc_RNA from 1 species